rnacentral:tRNA from 1 species
GAGGGUAUAGCUCAGUGGUAGAGUGCAUGCCUAGCAUGCACGAGGUCCUGGGUUCAAUUCCUAGUACCUCUA